GCUUUUGUCGCAGCUUGUUGUUUUCUGUUCAUCACACUCCAGCCACAUGUUGAGUUCUGUUCUUGUUUAGUUUUGAUCCACUGUUUUUGUUUGUUUCAUGAUUGCUUGUGUCACUAGUUUGAUUUGUCAGGAAAGCAGACGUCAGAACUCCAG